rnacentral:tRNA from 2 species
GUGGGCGUAGCUCAGUCGGUAGAGCCCCGGAUUGUGAUUCCGGUUGUCGUGGGUUCGAUCCCCAUCGCUCACCCCA